rnacentral:rRNA from 1 species
UACGGAGGGUGCAAGCGUUAUCCGGAUUCACUGGGUUUAAAGGGUGCGUAGGCGGGCAAUUAAGUCCGUGGUGAAAUACCUGAGCUUAACUUGGGAACUGCCAUGGAUACUAUUUGUCUUGAAUGUUGUGGAGGUCAGCGGAAUAUGUCAUGUAGCGGUGAAAUGCUUAGAUAUGACAUAGAACACCUAUUGCGAAGGCAGCUGGCUACGCAAAUAUUGACGCUGAGGCACGAAAGCGUGGGGAUCAAACAGG